ACGCUCGACACCUACGGGAGGCAGCAGUGAGGAAUAUUGGUCAAUGGACGCAAGUCUGAACCAGCCAUGCCGCGUGCAGGAUGACGGCUCUAUGAGUUGUAAACUGCUUUUGUACGAGGGUAAACGCAGAUACGUGUAUCUGUCUGAAAGUAUCGUACGAAUAAGGAUCGGCUAACUCCGUGCAAGCAGCCGCGAAAUCUGAGCGGGCUGGCAAGGC
rnacentral:rRNA from 1 species